rnacentral:rRNA from 1 species
GCAAUGGGGGAAACCCUGACGCAGCAACGCCGCGUGGGUGAUGAAGCAUCUUGGUGUGUAAAGCCCUGUCGUUAGGGAAUAAAGUCGGUAGGUUAAGAGCUAAUCGAUUUGAAGGUACCUAAAGAGGAAGCCCCGGCUAACUCCGUG